AGAAGAACUGCAGAAAAAAAUUGAUGCUGUUUGGAAAAUACUUGAUGAUCUUCAGAGAAAAACUGGUAAAUUUUCUUAGAACCCUUUACCUAUUUUACCUCUUGUGGUGGUUAAAUUUCCAGCCUUAGAUCAUUUUACACCAAGUGGUAUAUGGAAGUAAAACAGCAUUUCCUUUUGUUAGUGAGAUGGUCUUUGAACCUUGUGGUUCCAGUUUUCAGAAAUGUGGAUCACUUUGAACCAUCAAAAAAUCUGUGGAAGUAUUUCAAAUUUUUCACUUCCUUUCUUUCUGGCGUUGUGCCCUCUCUUUGAAUGAAUUGGUUCUUUCUUCCUUCUAUUUUACCAGUAAGUAUGGUUUCAUCUGUUUCUGUAUCUUUGUCUUCAACUCUCAAUGACCAUCUUUCUCAACUCUAAUAUAUGCAUAUUUUUACAUGAUUUUAUGCUAUCUUCUCUUUCCAACUGAUGUUUGCCAUCUUCAUUUAUCAUUCAGUCUCUCCCAUUAUUGCCUCUUUGAUUUGACUUGUAGCUGUAAUCUAUGCAGACAUAUCCUUUGUGUGAAUUAAAUUUUAUUAAUCAUAUACCUCUGAAGCACUGGCAUUUUCACUGUGGCUGAUGUGUAAGAUUUGUCCAAGAUAUGCUCAAGGCAUUUGAUUUAGAGCCCCUUUACUGCCAAAACUUAAUUUCCCUUCCUUUCAUGUGAUUUAAUUAAUUGAGUUUCAUUUAGGCAUGAGUUGUAAUAGAAACCCACACAAACAAGGUUAUGUAUUCAUCAGUUGAAAAAAUGUGAAUAGAGACUCUCAAGAAUCUAAAGUUUAUAUUUUUCUCUAGAAGUGGUUCAGUAUUCUCUAAUUCAUUCCUUGUGGCUACUUUAUACAACAUAGCUACCGUAAUAACAAGUAUUGA